GUAAACUAUAUAAGUAUUAGAAUGUCAGAAAUAGCGUACAACAACUUACCACACAAAAAUGUCAACGUCGUUGCAAAACCCACGGCUUUUCUGCUUCGUCGCCAUGAAGUUUUUGCACUUUGUGCUUCUUUUUCUGCGUUUCUGCUUUACGAAAAUGAAUGGGAGUUUGUUAAUUUUGUUUAUAUCAAGUUAUCCAAAAUCAGAAAAGCCAGGUGUGCAAUUUGUUGUUUUUUUUGCUUGUUUACAUAGAUAGUAUAACUAAAACAAGUACAAGUUUACUACAUCACGUCGUCUUUUUGUUUUUUGUUAUUGCAAAUUUCAUAAUUAAAAGUGUAUUACAUACCUGAAUACAAACUCAUCUAUGGAGAUUUUCCAAUCACAUUUUUUCUGUUCCCUUGUUUUAUUUUAUUUUACUUUCCGCAAUAUCGUCUCGACGCUAUGGAAAUGCUGUAUAAUUAUGUAUUUCUUGUAUACCUUUUUCAUCAGAGCUUUUUCAUGUUGUAGUUCAAUUCCUUCCCCCCCUGAAACCAAUUUUUUCUCUGAUUUACGUCACAAACUGUUUAUUUUUUCAACCAAUUGAAUCACAUAUUUUUUUUGAAAAUAUGACGAAUGAAAUAACCUCUAGCAUCCCGCAUAGGUACAACAAAAUUUUCAUCAGACCAUGAAACGUUUGUGCAAAUUUUUCAACUUUCUUGCAGUCUUGAAGACAAAAUUUAUAUGCGGGUAUGUAGAAAAAAUAUCAGAG